rnacentral:rRNA from 1 species
UACGUAGGGUGCAAGCGUUGUCCGGAAUUAUUGGGCGUAAAGAGCUCGUAGGCGGUCUGUCGCGUCUGCUGUGAAAACCUAGGGCUUAACUCUGGGCGUGCAGUGGGUACGGGCAGGCUAGAGUGCGGUAGGGGAGACUGGAAUUCCUGGUGUAGCGGUGAAAUGCGCAGAUAUCAGGAGGAACACCGGUGGCGAAGGCAGAUCUCUGGGCCGUAACUGACGCUGAGGAGCGAAAGCAUGGGGAGCGAACAGG